AAGAAACCAUCAUAAGCCAACAAAUCUUUUAUUUCAUUCACCCGAGCAGAACAACAUAAAGUUUCGAUUAAGAAAAGAAAAUUUGGCCUCUUAACUCUAACCAUCUCUUUCAGGACCUGAACUGCUUGUGGGUUGCCAAGCCCACGAUAGUUCCAACUAAUACAACUCAUUGAUCUUCCUGGCCGAUUACACCAUCAUCAACCCCGAAAACUAGGCCGUCAGCAUCAUCCACCUCGCCGUCAACAGAUAAACCCGCCAUCUCCACUGAGAUCGCAUUCUCGUCAGUUGCCA
rnacentral:lncRNA from 1 species